GGUGUGGUGCGGAGGUGCGGCACGGUUGAGCGGUGGCUGUGGCGGUGGCGGAAAGGCCAGUUCCCGGAUCGGUUUCUACCGCGGUGGUUGCACGGCUGCCUUGGGAUCGGGUUGCAGUUGUCGAACAGAUUCAAUCUGUGGUGGCGCGGUAAUGUGCUGCGGUGUGGCAUGACGCUGCGGUGGUGGAAUAGAUGGAAGCCAGUUCGGGUUCGACUAUGGUGGCUGCUUGGGCUGCGGUGCUUUGGGUUCGUUCGAAUGGUGGUGGCUGAAGAUAGUCGGGUCGGGUCGUGGUCAUGAGAUGGGAAAUUGAGAAUGGGGUUGUAUUAUGUUAAAAAGAAUUCCUCAAAAGCUGUUUACACUUCUGAACUGCAAUCUGUAUGUAUCGCUGGGAGAGAGGAUCAAGAAGAGUAGUACAUGGUGGAGAGAUGGAUUUGGCCUUGGCAACAGAGGGAUCAAGUGUAUAUGAUUGAAGGGUGCACAAGGUGCUGUUUCUGCUAUGGUGUACUUUACCUUGUUACAACCCUGCACGCGCAUCCCAGCUAUCCUCUGCAGAGGUGGAGAACUGUGACUGCUUGCAAGAUCACAUGCUCAACUUAAGUUGCUAGUAGCUGCUGGCAUGUUUAAAUGUUAAAGUUUAUAACAGGGCAGAGUUAUACCAGUAGUUGCUUCAAAUAUAGUUAUUUGUUCAGAUUCAUGGCUCGUGCUUAGUAUCACUUGUUCAUAAUGAGAAUGUACGUUUAACUAGGAAUUAGAUAAGAUUAGAAUGUACGUUUAACUAGGAAUUAGUUACAAGAAGUGCUUGUAGUCAAGUAUAUUGUAACGAGUAAUAGAUACAAUGACGUUUUGGGAUUGUAAAGAUUAUUUGUAUGUAAAUGUCUUCUUUUUGUUUCAAGGACAUUUUUUUUU